UUUAAAUAAAUGAUUACAAAGCCCAGUCGAAUUGUAAUCAAGGCCCAACAUUGGGUCUUGAUUACAAUUCGACUGGGCUUUGUAAUAAUUUAUUUA
rnacentral:miRNA from 1 species